rnacentral:rRNA from 1 species
UACAGAGGGUGCAAGCGUUAAUCGGAAUUACUGGGCGGAAAGCGCACGUAGGCGGCUUGGUAUGUCGGGUGUGAAAUCCCCGGGCUCGACCUGGGAACUGCAUCCGAAACUGCCUUGCUCGAGUAUGGGAGAGGGAAGUGGAAUUUCCGGUGUAGCGGUGAAAUGCGUAGAUAUCGGAAGGAACAUCAGUGGCGAAGGCGACUUCCUGGACCAAUACUGACGCUCAGGUGCGGAAGCGUGGGGAGCAAACAGG